GACGAACGCUGGCGGCGUGCUUAACACAUGCAAGUCGAACGAUGAAGCUGGAGCUUGCUCCGGUGGAUUAGUGGCGAACGGGUGAGUAACACGUGAGAAAUCUGCCCUUGACUCUGGGAUAACUGCGGGAAACUGUAGCUAAUACCGGAUAUUUUCCUUGGUGGGCAUCCACUGGGGAAGAAAGAAUUUCGGUCAAGGAUGAUCUCGCGGCCUAUCAGCUAGUUGGUGAGGUAAUGGCUCACCAAGGGGACGACGGGUAGCCGGCCUGAGAGGGUGACCGGCAACACUGGGACUGAGACACGGCCCAUACUCCUACGGGAGGCAGCAGUGGGGAAUAUUGCACAAUGGGCGCAAGCCUGAUGCAGCAACGCCGCGUGAGGGAUGAAGGCCUUCGGGUUGUAAACCUCUUUUAGCAGGGAAGAAGCGAAAGUGACGGUACCUGCAGAAAAAGCACCGGCUAACUACGUGCCAGCCGCCGCCGUAA
rnacentral:rRNA from 1 species